rnacentral:rRNA from 1 species
UGCCAGCGCCGCGGUAAUACGAAGGGGGCUAGCGUUGCUCGGAAUCACUGGGCGUAAAGGGCGCGUAGGCGGCGUUUUAAGUCGGGGGUGAAAGCCUGUGGCUCAACCACAGAAUGGCCUUCGAUACUGGGACGCUUGAGUAUGGUAGAGGUUGGUGGAACUGCGAGUGUAGAGGUGAAAUUCGUAGAUAUUCGCAAGAACACCGGUGGCGAAGGCGGCCAACUGGACCAUUACUGACGCUGAGGCGCGAAAGCGUGGGGAGCAAACAGG